CAACCCUUUGUAAACCAUUUACCUCAGUUGCUUCGGCGGCCCCUCACGGGAGCCCGCCGGCAGUAUACCGAAUCUCUGUUUUCGAACCCGACGUAACGUCUGAGUGUUCUAAGCGAACUGUUAAAACUUUCAGCAACGGAUCUCUUGGCUCCAGCAUCGAUGAAGAACGCAGCGAAACGCGAUAUGUAAUGUGAAUUGCAGAAUUCAGUGAAUCAUCGAAUCUUUGAACGCACAUGGCGCCCCCUGGUAUUCCGGGGGGCAUGCCUGUCCGAGCGUCGUUUCAACCCUCGGGAGGACCGUCCUUACAGACGGCCCCGCCCGGCGUUGGGGAUCUGCGAACACAGCAGGCCCCGAAAAUCAGCGGCGGACCCGCGCGGCCCCUCCCUUGCGUAGUAGCAUUAGCCUCGCAUCGGUGACCCGUGGUGCUAUCCUGCCCCUAAACCCCCCGACAAGCCCGGCAUCGCCGGCACAAGGUUGACCUCGGAUCAGGUAGGAAUACCCGCUGAACUUAAGCAUAUCAAUAA
rnacentral:misc_RNA from 1 species